CCCAAGUGGAUGGUAUGAUGAUAGGAUGGUUUUCUGGCCCAGCUAUAAAAACACCGACAUAAUUGAAAGGGCAGCUUUAAAUGAGGAGCAGCAUGAGCCAAACUGGCCAAGAUUUGACGUUUCUGUUGUCCGAACUUGUGACAACUACAAAGACGCAUUAAAAAUAAUGCAACAAUAUGGAAAGGGCUGCGACACCUCAGACCUGCAAUCUGAGGCAGAGAACGAGGAGCUGCCAGAAAAAAGGAACAGGAAGCCAGUCCAUCGUCUCGGGGACUCAGAUGAUAGCGAAGAAGACCCGGGAAAUAGUGACCUCACAUCUCUGGGGUUGGCAAGCCAAUUGCACAGGCAGACUCCACCAUCUCGCCGAGUGCCAGCAAGAGUCAUGAGUACUUGUUAACUCGACUCCUCAACUGGAGAUAACUUUCUAGCACCUCACCAUGGGGAAGGACGCAUUCAUAUGCCUUCACCAGCACCUGCAUUAAACAUGCAGAGAGUUACACAAGGAACGGCAGUCCCUCCUCGACUCCCUCCACCCCCCUCACCAGCAGCCCUCAACAUGUGGCAGACAGAGGAGCCUGGAUCCAGCCUGGCCUACAGGCCAACAUGGCGAGGGGGAAGAAUGGCCGACAACAAUUCCGGCUCUGCGCCUGAGGUAAUCCACAUCCUUAGCCUGCUGGAAACUAUUAAGCACAACCAAGACCAA